rnacentral:rRNA from 1 species
CCUACGGGUGGCUGCAGUGGGGAAUAUUGGGCAAUGGGCGCAAGCCUGACCCAGCAACGCCGCGUGAAGGAAGAAGGCCCUCGGGUUGUAAACUUCUUUUGUCAGGGACGAAACAAAUGACGGUACCUGACGAAUAAGCCACGGCUAACUACGUGCCAGCAGCCGCGGUAAUACGUAGGUGGCAAGCGUUAUCCGGAUUUACUGGGGUUAAAGGGCGUGUAGGCGGGAGAUCAAGUCAGAUGUGAAAUUCCAGGGGUCAACCCUGGAACUGCAUUUGAAACUGUUUUUCUUGAGGGGUGGAGAGGCAGGCGGAAUUCCGUGUGUAGCGGUGAAAUGCGUAGUUAUACGGAGGAACACCAGUGGCGAAGGCGGCCUGCUGGACAUUAACUGACGCUGAGGCGCGAAAGCGUGGGGAGCAAACAGGAUUAGAUACCCCUGUAGUC